UAUCCUGAGACGCGAGUCCGUGACCGAAAGGUCUGAAGUUGUUGAGUCUAUGCUGCCUAGAAAAGCUUCUAAGUAUAGGACACGCAAACCGUACCGGAAACCAACUCAGGUGGGUGGGAUGAAUAAUCCAAGGCGCUCGAGAGAACUCUGGCCAAGGAACUCGGCAAAAUAACCCCGUACCUUCGGAAGAAGGGGUGCUUUUUAGGGUGAAGCGAUUCACUCUGUCGAGCCCUGAAAAGCCGCAGAGAAAUGGUGGUGGCGACUGUUUACUAAAAACAUAGGUCUGUGCCAAGUCGUAUAGACGACGUAUACGGACUGACGCCUGCCCGGUGCUGGAAGGUUAAAAGGAGGAGUCAGCGCAAGCGAAGCUCCGAAUUGAAGCCCCAGUAAACGGCGGCCGUAACUAUAACGGUCCUAAGGUAGCGAAAUUCCUUGUCGGGUAAGUUCCGACCUGCACGAAUGGCGUAACGAUCUCCACACUGUCUCGGCCAGAGACUCGGUGAAAUUGAAGUCGCGGUGAAAAUGCCGUGUACCCGCAGAAAGACGGAAAGACCCUGUGCACCUUUACUAUAGCUUGACAUUGGGAUUUGAGCCUGCAUGUGUAGCAUAGGUGGGAGGCUGUGAACUCUGUACGCCAGUAUGGAGGGAGCCAUCGUUGAAAUACCACCCUUGUUUGUUCAGGUCCCUAACUCUUCGCCGUGAUCCGGUAAGAGGACAGUGUCUGGUGGGUAGUUUGACUGGGGCGGUCGCCUCCCAAAAUGUAACGGAGGCAUGCAAAGGUUCCCUCAGGCUGAUUGGAAACCAGCCGUCGAGUGCAAACGCAAAAGGGAGCUUGACUGCAAGAGAGACAUCUCGAGCAGGUACGAAAGUAGGUGUUAGUGAUCCGGUGAUCCCGAAUGGAAGGGUCAUCGCUCAUUGGAUAAAAGGUACGCCGGGGAUAACAGGCUGAUCGCAUCCAAGAGUUCACAUCGACGAUGCGGUUUGGCACCUCGAUGUCGGCUCAUCACAUCCUGGGGCUGAAGCAGGUCCCAAGGGUACGGCUGUUCGCCGUUUAAAGUGGUACGCGAGCUGGGUUUAAAACGUCGUGAGACAGUUUGGUCCCUAUCUUCUGUGGGCGUAGGAGAAUUGAAAGGGCCUGUCCCUAGUACGAGAGGACCGGGAUGGACACACCACUGGUGGACCUGUUGUCGUGCCAACGGCACAGCAGGGUAGCUAUGUGUGGAAGGGAUAACCGCUGAAAGCAUCUAAGCGGGAAGCCUGCCUUAAGAUAAGUUCUCCCUGACGCAAGUCCUGAAGGGCCGAGGUAGACGACCUCGUUGAUAGGCUGGAGGUGGAAGCCCUGUGAGGGGUGGAGCUGACCAGUACUAAUAGCCCGUGCGUCUUGUUUCU
rnacentral:rRNA from 1 species